AGUUCUUCAUAGAUCUUGGAUACUAGCCCUUUAUCUGAAAGUUCAUUUGCAAAUAUCUUCUCCCAUUCUGUAGGUUGUCUUUUAGUUUUGUGGACUGUUUCUUUUGCUGUGCAAAAGCUUUUUUCUUGAUUAAGUCCCAAUAAUUCAUUUUUGCUUUUGUUUCUCUUGCCUUCAUGGAUGUAUCUUGCAAGAAGUUGCUGUGGCCAAGUUCAAAAAGGGUGUUGCCUGUGUUCUCCCCUAGGAUUUUGGUGGAAUCUUGUCUCACAUUUAGAUCUUUCAUCCAUUUUGAGUAGACCUUUGUGUACAGUGUAAGAGAAUGGUCUAGUUUCAUUCUUCUGCAUGUGGAUGUCCAAUUUUCCCAGCACCAUUUAUUGAAGAGACUGUCUUUUUUCCAGUGGAUAGUCUUUCCUCCUUUAUUGAAUAUUAGUUGAUCAUAAAGCUGAGGGUCCACUUCUGGAUUCUCUAUUCUGUUCCAUUGAUAUAUGUGUCUGUUUUUGUGCCAGUACCACACUGUCUUGAUGACCAUAGCUUUGUAGUACAACCUGAAAUCUGGCAUUGUGAUGGUUUUCUUUUUUAAUAUUCCCCUGGCUAUUCGGGGUCCUUUCUGAUUCCACACAAAUCUUAAGAUGAUUUGUUCUAACUUUCUGAAGAAAGUCCAUGGUAUUUUGAUAGGGAUUGCAUUAAAUGGGCACACUGACUCUUGACCACAUUGUUCUCUGGAUACAGCUCCUCGACUCCCCCGUCCUUGAGUCAAUAGAGUAUUCUUUUACCUUUUGAAGUAAACAUUUUUUUCUCUACUUCCCAAAGUUAAUCAUUCCUAUAGUCAAUCUGUUAGCUCUCUUAGUAAAAACUGGAGGAGACAGCCUUGGGGUCAGAGUCUGAGUCCGGUUUGAGUUGGAGUCUGAGUCUCAGUCCCCCUGUUCCCCACAUUAAAAUUCAUCGAGACUCUGAGUCUUUCUUCAUAUUGUUGCCUCUGACUAUCCUGGAUCUGUGUGAGAUAUUUCCUAUAAGAGUAAAAACACAAGACACACUAGCAAUUGUAUAAUCUUAAUUCAUAAUCUGUGGCAUUGAGAACAAAGCCACUUGCCUGAUGAAAAACUAGACAAAAAUGACUAUAGUAGUUUUGUUCCUGGAACAUCUCACAAUACCAUUUUAAAUUCAUUACUUCAUUUCAUUUACUGAUAAACAAUACUGUACUGCAGAAUUUUCCUUUAGAGAAUCCAUUGGCCAAUUAGACAGAUUUGUCUUUUAAACCCAGAGACCCUUUGAAUUGUAUUAAGUGUUAGGUGGAAAAAUGCAAAAGUUUUUAAAAGUGACUGGGAUUACAAUUCCAGACCGCAAUUCUUAUCAUCCAAUCAGAUUUAAACUCUCUAUAAUUAUAGCUAAUAGUGUACUGACCUCGAGGGUCAGGAAGAAAGCAGAGAUAAUAGGAGUGAAGAAAAGGGAUAAAAAUACCAUUAAUACCAAAACCAAAACAACGAACAAAAAAUUGAAAACAGAAAGCCAGAUCAAGGCUUAAAUCCCACUAAAGGCCUGGAUAUUCUUAUCUGUUACUCUGACUCUGUCAUGUGUUGCUUAUAUGCUUCUGUGGAAAAGGGAAUUUUAAGAAUUGGUUUUUUGAAAGGCAAAAUAAAAUUAUAGAAUGUUAAAAUUUGAAGAACAUUUAGGAGUCAAAUAGGUAAUGCAUCUCACUUAUAAAUGAAGAAAGACAAGUCCAGAGAGUGAAAGUGACUUGUUAAAUGCUGCUCAGUAAUUUUUUAGAAUUAGCAGGUUUCCGACUUUCACGUUAUAGCUCUUUAGAAAGAAAGCCUGUAAUUCCCUUUCUUACAGCAUGACAUCGAAAAAAAAAAAAAAAAA
rnacentral:lncRNA from 1 species